AAUAUUUAUACACAAUCUUUAGCCUGGAAGCCAGUCCAAAUAUAACCCCACCCACAAAAUUUGAGGUGGGGAAAUUAGGUCUGGA